rnacentral:rRNA from 1 species
UACGUAGGCAGCGAGCGUUGUUCGGAGUUACUGGGCGUAAAGAGUGCGUAGGCGGUGCGGUAAGUCUGGUGUGAAAAUCUCCCGGCUCAACUGGGAGGGUGCGCUAGAAACUGCCGUGCUAGAGUGUGGGAGAGGUAAGCGGAAUUCCUGGUGUAGCGGUGAAAUGCGUAGAUAUCAGGAGGAACACCUGCGGUGUAGACAGCUUACUGGACCAUAACUGACGCUGAGGCACGAAAGCGUGGGUAGCAAACAGG